AGGGUUCGAUUCUGGCUCAGGAUGAACGCUAGCUACAGGCUUAACACAUGCAAGUCGAGGGUAGCAGGGUAGCAAUACCGCUGACGACCGGCGCACGGGUGAGUAACACGUAUCCAACCUUCCCAUAACUCAGGGAUAGCCUUUCGAAAGAAAGAUUAAUACCUGAUAGUACUUUUUCAAGGCAUCUUGAAAAAGUUAAAGAUUUAUUGGUUAUGGAUGGGGAUGCGUUCCAUUAGAUAGUUGGUGAGGUAACGGCUCACCAAGUCUUCGAUGGAUAGGGGUUCUGAGAGGAAGGUCCCCCACAUUGGUACUGAGACACGGACCAAACUCCUACGGGAGGCAGCAGUGAGGAAUAUUGGUCAAUGGGCGAGAGCCUGAACCAGCCAAGUAGCGUGAAAAGGAUGAAGGUCCUAUGGAUUGUAAACUUCUUUUAUAGUAGAAUAAAGUGAGCCACGUGUGGUUUUUUGUAUGUAUACUAUGAAUAAGGAUCGGCUAACUCCGUGCCAGCCGCCGC
rnacentral:rRNA from 1 species